rnacentral:lncRNA from 1 species
UCUGUCUCGAAAAAAAAAAAAAAAGAUUGUUUAAUCAGCUCCCACAGUUGCAUAAGGUGAAAUCCUUGUCUGUCUAUCUAUCUAUCUAUCUAUCUAUCUAUCUAUCUAUCAUCUAUUAAUCAUCUGUCUUUUUCUCUAUCUAGCUAUUUGGAUGUCUGGCCAUCUUAUCCCCAUAAAGUUCCGCUUCUCUGUCUGAACUCUGACUUAUACACAGGACAAAUAAAUUUCAAAUCCAAAUAAAAUUUCACAUACCAAGUAUUUUUAAAUUCUAGUGAAGUUUUACUGUGAAAAUCUACUGUUAGAACAGUUACCUCUAGCUUGCAGGCCAUUCAAGUUCAUAUUAGUCACAAACAGAAAAAAGCAUCAAUGGUGGAUUAAAGAAAACUGCAAAUUCUUUGAUAUUUUUCCCAUUUAGAGGCGGGGUCUACUUUCCCUUUUCUUGAAUCUAGGCUGACCUGUGACUGCUUCGGCCAACUGAAUAGGGAAGAGUGAUGCUGUGCUGUUUCCAGGCCUGUUCUUUAAAAGUACUUGGAAGCUUCUGCCUUGGCCUCUUUGUGCCUGAGUUGCUGUAUAAGAAUCUGACUACCUUGCUGGAGAGACCUUGUGGAGAAGACUUGACCUUAUAUGCAGAGGUAGAGGGGCCCUGGUUAGUCCAGCCAUCUAGCCAUCCUGUCAAAAUAGCAGGUAUGUGAGAAAAGCUGUCUUGAUUCCUCCAGCCCAGCCCAGCCACCAACUGAAUAAUACCAAGUAUAUGUACCUCAAAUGGAGGAAAAGAACUGCUCAGCUAAGUCCUGCCCAACGUCCUGACUCAGAAGAUAAUGACAGAUAAUGAAAUGAUUGUUGUUUUAAGCCACUGUGUUUUGAGGUAGUUUAUUACACAGCAAUGGAUGACAGAAUAGUAUUUAUAUAUAUAUAUAUAUAUAAAUAUAUAUAAAUAUAUAUAUUUAUAUAAAUUUAUAUAUAUUUAUAUAUAUAUAUGUAAAGACAGGUAUUUGGGACCAAUGCCUGGAUUAGCACUUACCAGGAGUCCCCUUUCCCCAUCUCUCCAUCCCAUGCUGCAGUUUGGGUUGUAUUCCUUGCUCCUCAGUCACCUGGAGCAUCCAUUCCCCUGGAGCUCCAUGAGCCCUUUGGACUCAAGAGGGCAGGGGUUUGCCCUGCAGUGCCUGCUGAAGUACAUCUCCAGGUAGUAGAGCACCUUGGCCAUGCACAGUGCAUCUGGCAGAGCAGUGAGGGCUCCAUUUUGCUCAUUGCACUCAACAUCUCCAGGGACUGUGGGGUUCCCUGUCAGACCUUGCUCUUCUCCAUCCUCCCUCCAAGGAGCCUUGGAUAAGGCUUCUAACAGCCUGGAGGCUCCAGGCAGCCAGGCCCUGCCAGACUGCCCUGAGGGCCAAGGGGAUUAAUAUCUCACAGCACAUCUGUAACUGAUUCUUGGCAUUCCAGGGAGUCUGGCACAACUGUGAGCAGCUCUGAAUUAAAUCAAGCUUCUUAAUUUGUGCAGCUCAAUUUUUUUUUUUAUUUAUUUUUUUGAGAGGGAGUCUUGCUCUGUCGCCCAGGCUGGAGUGCAGUAGCGCGAUCUCGGCUCAUUGCAAGCUCCGCCUCCUGGGUUCACGCCAUUCUUCUGCCUCAGCUUCCCGAGUAGCUGGGACUACAGGCGUCCACCACCACGCCCGGCUAAUUUUUUGUAUUUUUAGGGAGACGGAGUUUCACCAUGGUCUCGAUCUCCUGACCCUGUGAUCCGCCCGCCUUGGCCUCCCAAAGUGCUGGGAUUACAGGCGUGGGCCACCGGCGCCCGGCUGGCUCAAAUUUUUAAAAUUCUUACUAAUUUUUUAUUUGCUAGAUCACCCCCUUUCUAUCUUGUCCUUUAUUAUCCAUUUAAUCCUAUCCUUUUUUUGAAACCCUAACAGUCAUUAUUGUUGUGCUAAUCAGCUGCCUUUGCUUUCAGAUCCAUUUCCUGCCCUUCUUUUAUUCUACUCUGUAUUACAGCCAACCACAUUUCCAGGCUCCCUUGUCCUCUGCUAUCUAGAUCUGUAUGCAAGAAGAAAUGAAAAAGAUGAACAGGUAGAGUCCAGGACUACCUACCACAGCUCAGGUCAACAUUAAUUUUAUGAUUUAAUUAAUUCCAUAAAUUCUCUUUUCUGUAUGAAUAUAAGGUUCCUCCCUCCCUGUACUCACACAUCUACCUCUUCUAGGAGUUGCCUUGGGAUCCACAAAGAAAUUGAGGUGGUCCAGUACUCAUAAGCCAACAAACUUCAAAGGAGAGUCAAAUGUACAUUUUCAAAAUAAGAGUACUGAAAAGCAUUGAAAUAAACACACAAAAAGAGAUUCAAAUGUACAUCUUAAAAGGAGGAGGAGAUUCUUUGAAGAAGUAGGGGAAUAUGACGUUGAAAGUCUCUGAAGAGGUUGUGAUAGUUGUUUAAGGGAGUAGAACAUUAAAACAUUUUUGUCUGUUCAAUCUUAAUUUUUAAAAAUGAUAGCAUAGAGUUUGGCCAAUUAUGGAGGGGCUGAUUUCAUCACUAUCAAUGAGCAGUAAACUUUCUUGGUCUUUUAUUUGGGGAAUGUAUUUAUUUUACUUUCACUUUUGAAUGAGACUUAGCUGAUGCAAUGGACUGAAUUGUGUUCCUCCAGAAUUUGUAUGUUGAAGCUGUAAGGGCAAAUGUGACUGUAUUUGGAGGCAGGGCCUUUAAAGAGGUAAUUAAGGUUAACUAAGGUCAUAAAGAUGGGGCCUAACCCAAUAUCACUGUCCUUAUAAGAAGAGACACCCGGGAUGCAUUUGCACAGAGAAAAGGCCCCAGGAAGACACUGCAAGAAGAGGGUGCUCUUCAAGUCAGGGAGAAACCAAACCUACUAACACUUUGAUCUUUGACUUCUGGGCUCCGUAACUGUGAAAAAUAAGCUUCUGUUGUUUAAGCCACCUAAUUUGAGGUAUUUUGUUAUGGCAGCCCUAGAAAACUAAAUACAGCUGGGUAUAGAAUUCUAGGUUGAUGAUUUUGCUUUUAUAGUAUUUUUAUAAUAUUUUGAGAUGUGUGUCUUUGAAGUUCUGCAGUUGCAUUAUAUUGUGGCUUGCUUUGGAUUUGUUACAUUUAAGCUUUAUUUAUCCUUCCUGGAAUUCAUUACAGUUUUUGAACUUCAGGAUUCAAGUGUUUUAAUCAUUGAUGAAAACAUUUCAACCAUUAUCUCUUCAAGUAUUGCCUGUCUUAUUUUCCUCUAUUUCGCAUUCUUGGAAUUAAAUCUGUUGGUUCUCCUUUUCCGUCUUCCAUGUCCCUUAAUCUUCCAUAUUUUCCAGAUCUUUAUAUCUCUGUGCCUAUUGAGUAAUGUCUAAAAUCUGUUUUCCAGUUUAUAAAUUAUCUUGCUAUAUCAAAUCUGCUAUUUAACCUACUCAUUUAAGUUUUCAAUUUCCUUGACAUAUACCUAUGUGAAUGGGUGGGUUUUUACUUAGACUACCUUUUCAUGUAGAAUAUGUAGACUACCUUUUCAUGUAGAACCUAGCUUCUAUGCAAGGUUCUCAAUUCCAAUUUCCUGUCCACUUGGGCCCAGUGCUUACCUCAUGUUUCCACAUGAGCGUGAAAUCACAAGCCCUUGGGUGAACAGAAUCAGUAAUCACUGGUCGGGUGCAGUGGCUCAUGCCUGUAAUCCCAGCACUUUGGGAGGCUGAGGUAGGCGGAUCAUGAGGUCAGGAGUUUGAGACCAGCUUGGCCAACAUGGUGAAAUCCUGUCUCUACUAAAAAUACAAAAAAAAAAAAAAAGUAAAUAAAUAAAAUUAGCUGAGCAUGGUGGCAUGCGCCUGUAAUCCCAGCUACUUGGGAGGCUGAGGCAAGAGAAUUGCUUGAACCCAGCAGGUGGAGAUUGCAAUGAGCCGAGAUCACCCCACUGCACUCCAGCCUGGGUGACAGAGCGAGACUCCAUCUCAAAAAAAUUAAUAAAUAAUAAUAAUAGUCACCCUUCCACCUCCAUAGCACAGCUACGUCAUGAACUGACACCUUAAAACUUUGUUCUGUUUUCAAUUAUCUCUUGGUUUCUGAUGCCUGGGUAUUUCUUUUUCUUUCUUGAGAGCUUAAGCAUGAAUAUAAAACAUUUCAAAUUUUAUAUUUUAUCCAGUAUUUCUAGCUUUUUAAUAGUGAGAUUUAUCUUACUCUCCCAUUUUAUUAAAACAGAAAGUCUUGAGUAACAUUUUAAUACUGAGAAAAAAAGCCUCAUUAUUAGUUUUAGAAAAAGAGAGACAAUCUGUGUUGUUCUGGAACCAAGACAAAGUUCUAGAAGAUUCUCUCUUGAUCCUUAAACAGCAUAGAAAAACCAGGUAAGUUGACUAUGUUCACGUUUAGGAGUAUGAUGGCCAAUGGAUCCAAAACCUAUCCUAUAUCUACAUGUUGGUGGCCACAUUAAUCUGACAUCUGACAGCAAGAGCGAUGAUUGGGUUCACUGGAAAUCUUUGUGAAGUACGAGUGAAGUCCUUGUGAAGUCAGAGUUUCCUCUUCAUGCCUCUACUCCUAUGCAGUUUGACCUCUCAGUGUGCAGCUGGUGAUAGAUGGAAACCCUUGUUCAUAAGCUUUGUGGCACUGUCGGCAGGAUGAGGGGACUUCUGGAUCCUCACUGGUCACUGUGGCAGAGUGGUUGGUGUUGUCUGCUCCCUAGACAGGAACCCACUGAAGAAUCUGACAUUUUUUGAUAUGCUGGCAUUCAUUGUUACAGCCCAUCAUCCCAGCCAUCAAUCCAGGACAUGGGGUCUGUGCCCACGGUGGGAAGGAGGAGGGGGAAGCUGGCUUUGUUCUGACGUUGGGCUUCUUCUGCUCCACCAGUACUUUCUGUGGGGGAAAUAGGUAAAGAAAUGGCUGUUCAGAUGAGAAGAUGUGUCAGUAAACUUUUGCUACAGUGAUGCUGCAAAACAAAUCACUGGUGACUUUCAGUGGCACACAGCAAUAAACAUUUAUUUAGCUCAGGGAUUGACAAUCUUUUUUUUUUUUUAAAGGGCCAAAUAGUAAAUAUUUUAGGUGUUUCAGGCCAUACAGUCUCUGAACUCUGAACUUGUAGCACAACAGUAGCCUUAGAUGCUAUGCAAAUGGAGGAGCAUGACUGUGUUCCAAUAAAACUUUAUUUAUGGACACUAAAAUUGGAAUUUCA